rnacentral:rRNA from 1 species
UACGUAGGGUGCAAGCGUUGUUCGGAUUUACUGGGCGUAAAGGGCGCGUAGGCGGCUUGACAAGUCACUUGUGAAAUCUCCGGGCUUAACUCGGAACGGCCAAGUGAAACUGUCAUGCUAGAGUGCAGAAGGGGCAAUCGGAAUUCUUGGUGUAGCGGUGAAAUGCGUAGAUAUCAAGAGGAACACCUGAGGUGAAGACGGGUUGCUGGGCUGACACUGACGCUGAGGCGCGAAAGCCAGGGGAGCAAAUGGG